rnacentral:lncRNA from 8 species
AUGAGCUAUUGUUUCAGUUUAAUAAGAGUCGGAGAGAGGGAGAGGGAGAGGAAAAGAGAGAGACAGAGAUGGAGAGAGGAAAAGAGAGAGACCGGGAGAGAGAGAGGAAAAGAGAGACCAGGAGAGAGAGAGGAAAAGAGAGACCGGGAGAGAGAGAGGAAAAGAGAGACAGAUGGAGAGAGGAAAAGAGAGAGACAGACAUGGAGAGAGAGAGACAGAGAUGGAGAAAGAGAGAGAGACGGAGAGAGAGAGACGGAGAAAGAGAGAGAGAGAAAGAGAGAGAGAGAGAAAGAGAGAGAGAGAGACAGAUGGAGAAAGAGAGAGAGAGACGGAGAAAGAGAGAGAGAGACAGAUGGAGAAAGAGAGAGAGACAGAUGGAGAAAGAGAGAGAGACAGAGAUGGAGAAAGAGAGAGAGAGACAGAUGGAGAAAGAGAGACAGAUGGAGAAAGAGAGAGAGAGAGAGAUGGAGAAAGAGAGAGAGAGAGAUAGACGGAGACGGAGAGAGACGGAGACGGAGAGAGACGGAGACGGAGAGAGAGACGGAGAGGGAGAGAGAGACGGAGAGGGAGAGAGAGACGGAGAGGGAGAGAGAGACGGAGAGGGAGAGAGAGACGGAGAGGGAGAGAGAGACGGAGAGGGAGAGAGAGACGGAGAGGGAGGGAGACGGAGAUGGAGAGAGAGACGGAGAGGGAGAGAGAGACGGAGAGGGAGAGGGAGAGGGAGAGGGAGACGGAGAGGGAGAGGGAGACGGAGAGGGAGAGGGAGACGGAGACGGGGAGAGAGACGGGGAGACGGAGACGGAGACGGGGAGAGAGAGACGGGGAGAGGGAGAGAGAGACGGGGAGAGGGAGAGAGAGACGGGGAGAGGGAGAGAGAGAGAGAGAGGGACGGAGAGAGAGAGAGAGAGACGGAGAGAGAGACGGAGAGAGAGACGGAGACAGAGCGAGGGAGAGAGCGAGGGAGAGAGCGACGGAGACAGAGCGACGGAGACAGAGACGGAGAGAGACGGAGAGAGAGGGAGAGAGAGGGAGAGAGAGGGAGAGACAGACGGAGACAGACGGAGACAGACGGAGGGAGACGGAGAGGGAGACGGAGACGAGACGGGGAGAGAGACGGAGAGAGAGACGGAGAGAGAGACGGAGACAGAGCGACGGAGACAGAGACGGAGAGAGACGGAGAGAGACGGAGAGAGACGGAGAGAGACGGAGAGAGAGGGAGAGAGAGGGAGAGACAGACGGAGACAGACGGAGAGAGACGGAGAGAGACGGAGAGAGAGAGAGGGAGAGAGAGGGAGAGAGAGGGAGAGAGAGGGAGAGAGAGGGAGAGACGGAGCGAGAGACGGAGAGAGAGGGAGAGACGGAGAGAGAGGGAGAGAGAGAGGGAGAGAACGCUCCUGCUCUCUUCUACCAGCCACAUCUAACAUGUUUUGA